AACGAACGCUGGCGGCGCGCCUAAUACAUGCAAGUCGAACGAGAAGGUGUAGCAAUACACUUGUACAGUGGCGAACGGGUGAGGAAUGCAUGGGCAACCUACCCUCGAGUGGGGAAUAACCAGCCGAAAGGUUGGCUAAUACCGCGUACGCUUCCGGGUCUCCGGAUCCGGAAGGAAAGUCACACCGUGGGUGUGACGCUCAAGGAUGGGCUCAUGUCCUAUCAGCUUGUUGGNGAGGUAACGGCUCACCAAGGCAACGACGGGUAGCUGGUCUGAGAGGACGAUCAGCCACACUGGCACUGCGACACGGGCCAGACUCCUACGGGAGGCAGCAGUAAGGAAUAUUGCGCAAUGGGCGAAAGCCUGACGCAGCGACGCCGCGUGGGGGAUGAAGGUCUUCGGAUUGUAAACCCCUUUUAGGUAGGGAAAAGUGGGACGAGCAAUCGUCCGGAUGGUACCUCCAGAAAAAGCCACGGCUAACUUCGUGCCAGCAGCCGCGGUAAU
rnacentral:rRNA from 1 species